CGAUUGAAUGUUUCGGUGAAGAUCCCGGACCGGAACUUGAGCGCUUCGCGGCGCACUAGCGAAGGGAAGUUAUCUAAACCUCAACAUUUAGAGGAAGGUGAAGUCGUAACAAGGUUUCCGUAGGUGAACUGCGGAAGGAUCAUUA
rnacentral:rRNA from 1 species